AUUGAACGCUGGCGGCAGGCCUAACACAUGCAAGUCGAACGAGUGGCGGACGGGUGAGUAAUGUCUGGGAAACUGCCCGAUGGAGGGGGAUAACUACUGGAAACGGUAGCUAAUACCGCAUACCAUCGGAUGUGCCCAGAUGGGAUUAGCUAGUAGGUGGGGUAACGGCUCACCUAGGCGACGAUCCCUAGCUGGUCUGAGAGGAUGACCAGCCCAACUGGAACUGAGGUACGGUCCCGACCCCUACGGUAGGCAGCAGUGGGGAAUAUUGCACAAGUGGCGCAAGACUGAUUCAGCAAUGCCGCGUGUAUGAAGAAGGCCUUCGGGUUGUAAAGUACUUUCAGCGAGGAGGCGUUACUCGCAGAAGAAGCCCCGGCUAACUCCGUGCCAGCAGCCGCGGUAAUAC
rnacentral:rRNA from 1 species